UACGGAGGAUCCGAGCGUUAUCCGGAUUUAUUGGGUUUAAAGGGUGCGUAGGCGGCCUAUUAAGUCAGGGGUGAAAGACGGUAGCUUAACUAUCGCAGUGCCUUUGAUACUGAUGGGCUUGAAUGUAGUUGAGGUAGGCGGAAUGUGACAAGUAGCGGUGAAAUGCAUAGAUAUGUCACAGAACACCAAUUGCGAGGCGCUACUAAAGUAUGAUUGACGCUGAGGCACGGAAAGCGUGGGGAUCAAACAGG
rnacentral:rRNA from 1 species